CGGUUAAGUUAGAAAGGGCGCACGGUGGAUGCCUUGGCACUAGGAGCCGAUGAAGGACGGGACGAACACCGAUAUGCUUCGGGGAGCUGUAAGCAAGCUUUGAUCCGGAGAUUUCCGAAUGGGGAAACCCACCACUCGUAAUGGAGUGGUAUCCAUAUCUGAAUACAUAGGAUAUGAGAAGGCAGACCCGGGGAACUGAAACAUCUAAGUACCCGGAGGAAGAGAAAGCAAAUGCGAUUCCCUGAGUAGCGGCGAGCGAAACGGGACCAGCCCAAACCAAGAGGCUUGCCUCUUGGGGUUGUAGGACACUCUAUACGGAGUUACAAAGGAACGAGGUAGAUGAAGAGGUCUGGAAAGGCCCGCCAUAGGAGGUAACAGCCCUGUAGUCAAAACUUCGUUCUCUCCUGAGUGGAUCCUGAGUACGGCGGAACACGUGAAAUUCCGUCGGAAUCCGGGAGGACCAUCUCCCAAGGCUAAAUACUCCCUAGUGACCGAUAGUGAACCAGUACCGUGAGGGAAAGGUGAAAAGCACCCCGGAAGGGGAGUGAAAGAGAUCCUGAAACCGUGUGCCUACAAGUAGUCAGAGCCCGUUAACGGGUGAUGGCGUGCCUUUUGUAGAAUGAACCGGCGAGUUACGAUCCCGUGCAAGGUUAAGCAGAAGAUGCGGAGCCGCAGCGAAAGCGAGUCUGAAUAGGGCGAAUUGAGUACGUGGUCGUAGACCCGAAACCAGGUGAUCUACCCAUGUCCAGGGUGAAGUUCAGGUAACACUGAAUGGAGGCCCGAACCCACGCACGUUGAAAAGUGCGGGGAUGAGGUGUGGGUAGGGGUGAAAUGCCAAUCGAACCUGGAGAUAGCUGGUUCUCUCCGAAAUAGCUUUAGGGCUAGCCUCAAGGUAAGAGUCUCGGAGGUAGAGCACUGAUUGGACUAGGGGCCCCUACCGGGUUACCGAAUUCAGUCAAACUCCGAAUGCCGAUGACUUAUCCUUGGGAGUCAGACUGCGAGUGAUAAGAUCCGUAGUCGAAAGGGAAACAGCCCAGACCGCCAGCUAAGGUCCCAAAGUAUACGUUAAGUGGAAAAGGAUGUGGAGUUGCUUAGACAACCAGGAUGUUGGCUUAGAAGCAGCCACCAUUUAAAGAGUGCGUAAUAGCUCACUGGUCGAGUGACUCUGCGCCGAAAAUGUACCGGGGCUAAACGUAUCACCGAAGCUGCGGACUGUUCUUCGAACAGUGGUAGGAGAGCGUUCUAAGGGCUGUGAAGCAAGACCGGAAGGACUUGUGGAGCGCUUAGAAGUGAGAAUGCCGGUAUGAGUAGCGAAAGAGGGGUGAGAAUCCCCUCCACCGAAUGCCUAAGGUUUCCUGAGGAAGGCUCGUCCGCUCAGGGUUAGUCGGGACCUAAGCCGAGGCCGAAAGGCGUAGGCGAUGGAUAACAGGUUGAUAUUCCUGUACCACCUCCUCACCAUUUGAGCAAUGGGGGGACGCAGGAGGAUAGGGUAAGCGCGGUAUUGGAUAUCCGCGUCCAAGCAGUUAGGCUGGGAAAUAGGCAAAUCCGUUUCCCGUGAAGGCUGAGCUGUGAUGGCGAGCGAAUUAUAGUAGCGAAGUUCCUGAUUCCACACUGCCAAGAAAAGCCUCUAGCGAGGUGAGAGGUGCCCGUACCGCAAACCGACACAGGUAGGCGAGGAGAGAAUCCUAAGGUGAUCGAGAGAACUCUCGUUAAGGAACUCGGCAAAAUGACCCCGUAACUUCGGGAGAAGGGGUGCUCUGUUAGGGUGCAAGCCCGAGAGAGCCGCAGUGAAUAGGCCCAGGCGACUGUUUAGCAAAAACACAGGUCUCUGCGAAGCCGUAAGGCGAAGUAUAGGGGCUGACGCCUGCCCGGUGCUGGAAGGUUAAGAGGAGCGCUUAGCGUAAGCGAAGGUGCGAAUUGAAGCCCCAGUAAACGGCGGCCGUAACUAUAACGGUCCUAAGGUAGCGAAAUUCCUUGUCGGGUAAGUUCCGACCCGCACGAAAGGCGCAACGAUCUGGGCACUGUCUCAACGAGAGACUCGGUGAAAUUAUAGUACCUGUGAAGAUGCAGGUUACCCGCGACAGGACGGAAAGACCCCGUGGAGCUUUACUGCAGCCUGAUAUUGAAUGUUGGUACAGCUUGUACAGGAUAGGUAGGAGCCUUGGAAACCGGAGCGCCAGCUUCGGUGGAGGCAUCGGUGGGAUACUACCCUGGCUGUAUUGACCUUCUAACCCGCCGCCCUUAUCGGGCGGGGAGACAGUGUCAGGUGGGCAGUUUGACUGGGGCGGUCGCCUCCUAAAAGGUAACGGAGGCGCCCAAAGGUUCCCUCAGAAUGGUUGGAAAUCAUUCGCAGAGUGUAAAGGCACAAGGGAGCUUGACUGCGAGACCUACAAGUCGAGCAGGGACGAAAGUCGGGCUUAGUGAUCCGGUGGUUCCGCAUGGAAGGGCCAUCGCUCAACGGAUAAAAGCUACCCCGGGGAUAACAGGCUUAUCUCCCCCAAGAGUCCACAUCGACGGGGAGGUUUGGCACCUCGAUGUCGGCUCAUCGCAUCCUGGGGCUGUAGUCGGUCCCAAGGGUUGGGCUGUUCGCCCAUUAAAGCGGUACGCGAGCUGGGUUCAGAACGUCGUGAGACAGUUCGGUCCCUAUCCGUCGCGGGCGCAGGAAAUUUGAGAGGAGCUGUCCUUAGUACGAGAGGACCGGGAUGGACGCACCGCUGGUGUACCAGUUGUUCUGCCAAGGGCAUCGCUGGGUAGCUAUGUGCGGACGGGAUAAGUGCUGAAAGCAUCUAAGCAUGAAGCCCCCCUCAAGAUGAGAUUUCCCAUUCCGCAAGGAAGUAAGAUCCCUGAAAGAUGAUCAGGUUGAUAGGUCUGAGGUGGAAGUGUGGCGACACAUGGAGCUGACAGAUACUAAUCGAUCGAGGACUUAACCAAUUU
rnacentral:rRNA from 1 species